UGGGGAAUAUUGGACAAUGGGCGCAAGCCUGAUCCAGCCAUGCCGCGUGAGUGAUGAAGGCCUUAGGGUUGUAAAGCUCUUUCGCCGACGAAGAUAAUGGCGGUAGUCGGAGAAGAAGCCCCGGCUAACUUCGUGCCAGCAGCCGCGGUAAUACGAAGGGGGCUAGCGUUGUUCGGAAUCACUGGGCGUAAAGCGCACGUAGGCGGAUUGUUAAGUCAGGGGUGAAAGCCUGGAGCUCAACUCCAGAACUGCCCUUGAUACUGGCCAAUCUCGAGUCCGGAAGAGGUAAGUGGAACUGCGAGUGUAGAGGUGAAAUUCGUAGAUAUUCGCAAGAACACCAGUGGCGAAGGCGGCUUACUGGUCCGGUACUGACGCUGAGGUGCGAAAGCGUGGGGGAGCAAAACAGGAUUAGAUACCCCUGGUAGUCCACGCCGUAAACGAUGGAGGCUAGCCGUUGGCGAGCAUGCUCGUCAGUGGCGCAGCUAACGCAUUAAGCCUCCCCGCCCUGGGGGAGUACGGUCGCAA
rnacentral:rRNA from 1 species